CUACGGGAGGCAGCAGUGGGGAAUAUUGCGCAAUGCCCGCAAGGGUGACGCAGCGACGCCGCGUGGGUGAAGAAGCACUAAGGUGUGUAAAGCCCUGUCAGAAGGGAAGAACGGCGAUGUUUCGAAAGGGGCAUCGUGUGACGGUACCUUCAGAGGAAGCUCCGGCUAACUCCGUGCCAGCAGCCGCGGUAAUACGUAGGUGACGAACGUUAUCCGGAAUCACUGGGCGUAAAGGGUCCGCAGGUGGCAUGUCAAGUCGAUUGUGAAAGCUCCCGGCUCAACUGGGAGAGGACGGUCGAAACUGGCAAACUAGAGUCCGACAGAGGUCGGCGGAAUUCCCGGUGUAGUGGUGGAAUGCGUAGAUAUCGGGAGGAACGCCAAAAGCGAAAGCAGCCGGCUGGGUCGAGACUGACACUGAGGGACGAAAGCGUGGGUAGCGAACAGGAUUAGAAACCCUAGUAGUCC
rnacentral:rRNA from 1 species